rnacentral:tRNA from 1 species
UGUAAGAUGGCUGAGAUUAAGCGAAAGAUUGUAGCUCUUUUUACGGAGGAGAACCCUUCUCUUAUAA